UAUAAAUACAACAGGCCAGCUGCGAGUUACAUGUAAUAUAUAUCCAGAAAAGUACACCCCGAGAAAUCCUGAAAAUAUUUCUAUUGAAAGAGCUUUACCAAAAAAUGUACAAGGCAGCAUAGAUAGCCACGGCACCAUGUUUACAACCCAACCCUAGAAGUAAUAAAAAGGAUUCUUAACAUAUUAUAUGGUCAAAUUAUAUAUAAUACAAAUGUUUAUUAAUAAUAAAUUACCUUUACUUCUGGAAAUGUAUCAUGAAAAUACAUUGGCAUCCAGGAUAA